rnacentral:rRNA from 1 species
GAUGAACGCUGGCGGCGUGCCUAACACAUGCAAGUCGAGCGAUUCUCUUUGGAGAAGAGCGGCGGACGGGUGAGUAACGCGUGGGUAACCUGCCCUGUACACACGGAUAACAUACCGAAAGGUAUGCUAAUACGAGAUAAUAUGCUUUUAUCGCAUGGUAGAAGUAUCAAAGUUUUUGCGGUACAGGAUGGACCCGCGUCUGAUUAGCUAGUUGGUAAGGUAACGGCUUACCAAGGCGGCGAUCAGUAGCCGACCUGAGAGGGUGAUCGGCCACAUUGGAACUGAGACACGGUCCAAACUCCUACGGGAGGCAGCAGUGGGGAAUAUUGCACAAUGGGCGAAAGCCUGAUGCAGCAACGCCGCGUGAGCGAUGAAGGCCUUCGGGUCGUAAAGCUCUGUCCUCAAGGAAGAUAAUGACGGUACUUGAGGAGGAAGCCCCGGCUAACUACGUGCCAGCCGCCGCCGUAA